AUUGAACGCUGGCGGCAGGCCUAACACAUGCAAGUCGAACGGUAACAGGAAGAAGCUUGCUUCUUUGCUGACGAGUGGCGGACGGGUGAGUAAUGUCUGGGAAACUGCCUGAUGGAGGGGGAUAACUACUGGAAACGGUAGCUAAUACCGCAUAACGUCGCAAGACCAAAAAGGGGGACCUUCGGGCCUCUUGCCAUCGGAUGUGCCCAGAUGGGAUUAGCUAGUAGGUGGGGUAACGGCUCACCUAGGCGACGAUCCCUAGCUGGUCUGAGGGGAUGACCAGCCACACUGGAACUGAGACACGGUCCAGACUCCUACGGGAGGCAGCAGUGGGGAAUAUUGCACAAUGGGCGCAAGCCUGAUGCAGCCAUGCCGCGUGUAUGAAGAAGGCCUUCGGGUUGUAAAGUACUUUCAGCGGGGAGGAAGGGAGUAAAGUUAAUACCUUUGCUCAUUGACGUUACCCGCAGAAGAAGCACCGGCUAACUCCGUG
rnacentral:rRNA from 1 species